CAACAGGAAGUGUGUGUAUGUACAAACAAGGAGAGAGAGAGCACUUUGUUUGAAAGAAUUGACUCACAUAAUUGUGGGAUCUGGAAAGUCUGUAAUCUGCAAGGCAACCAGCAGGCUGGAGACCCACAGAAGAGUUGACAUUGAAUCUUCCAGUGUGAAAGUCUUUUGGAGGACGAAUUCCUUCUCAAGAGACCUUAGCCUUUUCUCUCACACCUUCAGCCGCCUGGAUGAGGCCCAUCCACAUUAUUGUCCAUUAUGUGCCAGAUGCUGUGUUUGGUCCAAGAAUAGGAAGUCAACGUCACAGACCCUUCUUUCAAAAAGCUCACGUCUAGGGAGAGUAUGACUGAAGAAAAAGAGAAUGACUGAAAGCUAUGUACAAAAGGGGGGAUCUGAAGAACCACAGCAACAACCUAUAGCAUAGAUCAUGGGACAUAGCUCGCAAUAAUUCCCCCAUAUUUGCCACAAAAGGGCUUCAUUUCCUAAAGAAGCAAACGGUUGUAGAUGAGCCUCCAGGUGCUACAAGAGAGCAGUAGCUGGAAAGAACAUGAGAGUUUUUGCCUACGCAUAGGCAAAGAUGGUUCCGGCUACCCAUCUCGGACCUUCUCAGACCAAGCAGAGCUGUAGCCUCUAGGCUUGUCUUACCCUGUAAUGCAUUUGGAAAGCACCAUAUUCUCAGGAAUAGAAAAGUCUGCUGGUGAUCUUCUCUUCCAGACCGUCUGCCCUGAGAACUUUGGGCUCUGACAUGAAAUGUGGAGACAGCCUUGCGGAGACUUCUUAGCCAGCUGCCAUAAUUAGGAUGCAUAUAUGAUAUGUGGGAACUGGCACUAGUCUGUGUUCUGUGUGAACAUCAGGAAUCAAGUGGUGGUGGAUGGGGACCAUGAAAUCCAAACUAGUUGAAAUGUUUACGCAUUGCUCGAACUCCAAAAUUCUGAUCAGUAGUUCUUUUCCUGCUAUGUCUUCACACCUUCAAAUUAGUCCAUUUUUUUCCUCCACGUUUCAUUGUCAAACAAGACUUUGUAGAAAAAUGUAAGUAAUAAACUUCUUUUCAUC